rnacentral:rRNA from 1 species
GGAUUGUGGCGUCAGUAGAGCAUCUGGUGGAUGCCUUGGUGUACAUAGCUUAAGAAGGACGUUAACAACGAAAUUCGUGCGGAGCAAAAGCUACGAAGCACGAUUCUCCGAAUGGGGAAACCCGCUUGCAACAUCGCAAGCGUCUGUUUAGACAACAACGCGGGGAACUGAAACAUCUUAGUACCCGCAGGAACAAAAAUCUUUGAGAUUCCGUUAGUAGUGGUGAGCGAAAGCGGAACAGGCUAGGUUGGCUAGAGAAGAGGGGGUAAUUGUUUGGAACGGCAAGCUUGGACUGGUGAAGAGCCCAGGGCCCUUAACAUUCUGGUAGCUAAUGGAAAGUAGAACGGGACACGUGGAAUCUUGUUUGAAUAUGGGGGGACCACCUUCCAAGCCUAAAUACUAAUGUACAACCGAUAGCGAACUAGUACCGUGAGGGAAAGGUGAAACAAGAGUCUGGAAAAGACAGUGAAAUAGAACCUGAAAUCGGAUGCUUACAAUCAGUCGGAGGGUGUUUAGGCCUAACGACGUACCUUUUGUAUAAUGGGUCAACGAGUUAAUGUAGCGAGCACAGCUUAAGCUUUUAAAGUGUAGGCGUAGCGAAAGCGAGUCUUAAAAGGGCGGCAAAACAAGUUCGUUGCAUUAGACCCGAAACCGAGUGAUCUAACCAUGAACAGGCUGAAGGUCGGGUAACUCUGGCUGGAGGGCCGAACUCGUGUCUGUUGCAAAAGGCUGAGAUGAUUUGUGGUUAGGGGUGAAAGGCUAAUCAAACUCGGAGAUAGCUGGUUCUCUGCGAAAUCUAUUUAGGUAGAGUGCGAAGUCAACUUCUGCGGGGGUAGAGCUCUGGAUAGGUGAUGGGAGGUCAUACUUUACUAAUCUUAACCAAACUUCGAAUACCGUGGCAAGAUGCUUCGUAAACACACUGUGGGCGCUAACGUCCACAGUGGAGAGGGAAACAACCCAGACUUGUGGUUAAGGUCCUUAAAUCGUGACUAAAUGUGGAAGGCUGUGGACGCUCUUUGACAAUCAGGAUGUAGGCUUAGAAGCUGCCAUCAUUUUAAGAAAGCGUAACAGCUCACUGAUCGAUGAGAGUCUGCGCCGAAAAUGUAUCGGGACUAAGUCGCGUACCGAAGCCCAAGGCAUUACACAUCUUGUAAUGCGGUAGCAGAGCUUUCCGUAUGCUUGAGAAGGCAGCGUGUGAUAGCUGCUGGAGGCUUCGGAAGUGAGAAUGUUGACAUGAGUAACGUUAAUGAGAGUGAGAAACUUUCACGCCGAAUAGACUAAGGUUUCCUAUUGGUUUGAAACAAAAGUUGAUCUUAAUAGGGUAAGCCGGCACCUAAGGUGAAGCAGAACUGCGUAGCCGAUGGAAAUCGCGUUAAUAUUCGUGAGCCUGUUUUUGGGUGACUUGGCGAAGCCAUGGUUAAAACUGAUUGGAUUGUUUUAGCUUUGGCUGCGCCAACAGGAAAUAGCUCAAAAAGUUUUUGGCCGUACUAAAACCGACACAGGUAGUCUAGUAGAGAAUACUAAGGCGUAGAGUGAAUUGCGCUGAAGGAACUCGGCAAAAUACGCGCGUAACUUUGGGACAAGCGCGGCCUGAUUAGGGAAACCUGCUCAGGCGUAACACAAAUGGGGGGAGCGACUGUUUAUCAAAAACACAGGACUCUGCAAAAUCGUGAGAUGAAGUAUAGGGUCUGACGCCUGCCCGGUGCUGACAGGUAAACAUUGGAUGUUAAUAGCAUUUGGUUUAAGCCUCAGUAAACGGCGGCCGUAACUAUAACGGUCCUAAGGUAGCGAAAUUCCUUGUCGGAUAAGUUCCGACCCGCACGAAUGGCGUAACGACUUCCCUACUGUCUCCAGCGCAAGCUCAGUGAAAUUGAAUUCCCCGUGAAGAUGCGGGGUACCUGCGGUAAGACGGAAAGACCCCGUGCACCUUAACUAUAACCUUAUAUUGGCGUGGUCCGUGGUUUGUGUAGCGUAGGUGGGAGACGAUGAAGGGUUGGCGCUAGCUGGCUUGGAGUCGUUAAUGAAACACCACCCUAAUAGCGAAGAACGCCUUUACUGUAAUUUAGUAAGCUGAGUUCAGGACAAUGUAUGGUGGGUAGUUUGACUGGGGCGGUCGCCUCCUAAAAGGUAACGGAGGCGUGCGAAGGUAAACUCAAAACGGUUGGAAACCGUUUGUAGGAGCGCAAUGGUAUAAGUUUGCCUGACUGCGAGACUCACAAGUCAAGCAGAGACGAAAGUCGGUCAUAGUGAUCCGGUGGUUCUGUGUGGAAGGGCCAUCGCUCAACGGAUAAAAGGUACGCCGGGGAUAACAGGCUAAUAACCCCUGAGAGCUCUUAUCGACGGGGUUGUUUGGCACCUCGAUGUCGACUCAUCGCAUCCUGGGGCUGAAGAGGGUCCCAAGGGUAUGGCUGUUCGCCAUUUAAAGCGGUACGUGAGUUGGGUUCAGAACGUCGCGAGACAGUUCGGUCCCUAUCUACCGUGGGUGUAAGAGCGUUGACGAGGCCUGUCUCUAGUACGAGAGGACCGAGAUGGACGUACCUAUGGUGUUCCUGUUGUUUCGCCAGAAGCAUAGCAGGGUAGCUACGUACGGAAUGGAUAACUGCUGAAAGCAUCUAAGCGGGAAGCCAGCUCGAAGACGAACGCUCUAAAUUAGAGUCGUGAUAGAUUAUCACGUUGAUAGGCUAGGAGUGUAAGUGUGGUAACACAUUCAGCUUACUGGUACUAAAUACUCGAAAGCUCAGUGCAG